CUGCACUGUGUUGCAUUAACAACACCACAGAACUGCCAUGGCUCCUGGAUGAGAACCACCUGGACAGACUACUGGCCCAUUCCCACAUCUCUAAAAUAGC